AAAACACUCAAAAUCUUCUUCCUUCCUCUCUCUCACGCGACGGAACCAAGGGAACAUCGCACAUUCAUCUUCUUCCUCUGUUUUUUCUGAGUUCUUCGAUUUUUCUGAAUUCUUCCUCUGAUUUUCGCAAGAAGAACAACAGUUGGCCGUCUUCUCUGUCUUCGAAUUUCGAAGGAACUGCAACAAUGGCUCUUGCUCCUGGAUUCUGAUUUUCGAAGAAUAAAACCUAUAUUUUUUUCCCUCAAAUUUCUGGUAGUAAUACACAAAGAAUAGCAUCAGGAUUUUAUUCCAUUGAAGUAGAAAUCAGAAAAAUAGCAAUCGAACCCUUUCCUUUCCCAAGUCUAUGUUCUGCCAAAAUAGGGGAAAACAGUUGGAAUUUGGUCUUGUUUGUUUAAGCAUCGAAAAUUCAAGACAAACAUCUAUUUUCGAAGCCAGUUUGUUGUGUUUCCUUGCUGACCGUCAAAACAGAAGGAGGCGACAUCAUUGAGGAACCCUUCUAGUGAUCGCGAAGAACCAGACCUAGCUUCUUGAAGUGUUCUUGUUUGUUUACAGAUCGGAACCAGUCGGGAAUGAUGGAUUAGCGGAGUUGAUUAGCGUCCCAAGGAUGUAUAUUGAGCUGAGCACGUGGGAAUUUGUGGUUUUGUAUUAGGUUUUUUGAUAAAUAUAUAUUAGACUUGGUUGUGUUGGUUAUAUUGGACAUGUAGUGAAUUGUAUGAUUAUCUUGUGUUUUAGUUAGAUGUUUGGUUUGAGAUUAAGCUGAGUUAGUUACGUUAAAGAGCUGGUGACCCCUUUGCUCAAAUUUUGGAAGUGUGAUUUCAGUUUCCUGAAAAAUGAACCCCGUAAUGACCCUGUUUACUCAGUCAACGGUAAGUUGGGUUGUUAUAUACACUGCUUUUGUUUUCUGUUAAAUUUUUUUAGCAUAUAUUAGGGAGCUAGUAUUUAUUUUUCUCCUUAUUUAGUUGAAAUAAAAUUGUAGUGUUUUAUUUCAAUCAAUCAACAUAGUAGAAAUAUGAUAAAAUAUAAUGCCAUGUUAUGGAAUAAAAUCAACUUUACCUUAUUUAAUUCAAUAAAUAUAGCAAUUAAUCAAUUUAAUUAUUCUACAUGGUAAAUCUUUGUAAGGAUGCCACGUGAAAUUUUUCACCCCUUUUAGUUAAUUGUAUGAUUCAAGGAUCCUGAGUUAGCUUAGUGAUUGAGUAUUCUCCUUUAUAUGUGUAAUAAGGGUUUGGUUUUUUACCGCAUAUAGGAAUGCUUCAUUCUAUUUCGCCCCUCAACUGUAGAGAUUUUCUUAUCUACUUCCGACUAAAAAAUUAUACAAAUUAAGAUAAAUUCAAAAUAAUCUAUACUUAUAUAUAUUUGAAAUGAAGCUUAAACAGCUAAACUAGAACCAACGGAGGUGCAUGAUGUAUUUGGAUUGUGAGUUUUGUUUUAACUAUUUAGACGAAG